UACAGAGGUGGCAAGCGUUGUUCGGAUUUACUGGGCGUAAAGGGCGCGUAGGCGGCUUGUCAAGUCACUUGUGAAAUCUCUGAGCUUAACUCAGAACGGCCAAGUGAAACUGACAUGCUAGAGUGCAGAAGGGGCAAUCGGAAUUCUUGGUGUAGCGGUGAAAUGCGUAGAUAUCAAGAGGAACACCUGAGGUGAAGACGGGUUGCUGGGCUGACACUGACGCUGAGGCGCGAAAGCGUGGGGAGCAAACAGG
rnacentral:rRNA from 1 species